CGGGAUGACGGCCUUCGGGUUGUAAACCGCUUUUGACUGGGAGCAAGCCCUUCGGGGUGAGUGUACCUUUCGAAUAAGCACCGGCUAACUACGUGCCAGCAGCCGCGGUAAUACGUAGGGUGCAAGCGUUAUCCGGAAUUAUUGGGCGUAAAGGGCUCGUAGGCGGUUCGUCGCGUCCGGUGUGAAAGUCCAUCGCUUAACGGUGGAUCCGCGCCGGGUACGGGCGGGCUUGAGUGCGGUAGGGGAGACUGGAAUUCCCGGUGUAACGGUGGAAUGUGUAGAUAUCGGGAAGAACACCAAUGGCGAAGGCAGGUCUCUGGGCCGUUACUGACGCUGAGGAGCGAAAGCGUGGGGAGCGAACAGGAUUAGAUACCCUGGUAGUCCACGCCGUAAACGGUGGAUGCUGGAUGUGGGGACCAUUCCACGGUCUCCGUGUCGGAGCCAACGCGUUAAGCAUCCCGCCUGGGGAGUACGGCCGCAAGGCUAAAACUCAAAGAAAUUGACGGGGGCCCGCACAAGCGGCGGAGCAUGCGGAUUAAUUCGAUGCAACGCGAAGAACCUUACCUGGGCUUGACAUGUUCCCGACAGCCGUAGAGAUACGGUCUCCCUUCGGGGCGGGUUCACAGGUGGUGCAUGGUCGUCGUCAGCUCGUGUCGUGAGAUGUUGGGUUAAGUCCCGCAACGAGCGCAACCCUCGCCCUGUGUUGCCAGCACGUCGUGGUGGGAACUCACGGGGGACCGCCGGGGUCAACUCGGAGGAAGGUGGGGAUGACGUCAGAUCAUCAUGCCCCUUACGUCCAGGGCUUCACGCAUGCUACAAUGGCCGGUACAACGGGAUGCGAC
rnacentral:rRNA from 1 species